AUAUCACCUCUUGUCGAAACUCAGAGUUAGGAAUGGCCAUUACUAUGCUGAUGCUUUCUGACUGAGCUCCUCUCUACCCUAAUACAAAGGACUCUCACAGUUAGUCAUCCUGGCUGGGAUCCUGGGUCUCCACAAAAAAGGAUGUCUCUGGAACCUGCUCAACCACAUUCCAGUGGGAAGGAGAGAGCCCUUCUGCAUGCCCCCAAGACUCAAAUCCUUGAAGCUCCUUCAGGACUUCAGAACAUGUCGGAGCCCUCUAAAUUUAACCUGAAAGACUGGUUCAGGCCAUGACGGGAAGCGGGAGUUUGGACAUGCCUCAGUAUGCCCUCCUCUCUUUUGGAAUUCAGGAAAAGCCAACCAGCAUUUCACAUCAACACAGAACUUAAGCCUGCUAUCUGGAGACUUCGUCUGCAAGAUAAAGCUCUGGUCUCCACAAACUUUUUUUUUUUUUUUUUCCGAGACAGAGUCUCACACUAUUGCCUAGGCUGGAGUGCAAUGGGGUGAUCUCAGCUCACUGCAACCUCUGCCUCCCGGGUUCAAGCAAUUCUCCCACCUCAGCCUCCUGAGUAGCUGCGACCACAGGUACCCACUACCACACCCUGUUAAUUUUUUUUGCAUUUUUAGUAGAGAUGGGGUUUCACUAUGUUGGUCAGGCUGGUCUCAAACUCCUGACAUCGUGAUCCGCCUGCCUCAGCCUCCCAAAGUGCUGGGAUUACAGGCCUGAGCCACUGGGCCUGGCCCUAUUGUUAAUAAUUCUUUCAACCAAUUGCCAAUCAGAAAAUUUUUAAAUCUACCUAUAACCCUAUAAACUGGAAACACCCACCUCCCCAACAAGUUGUCCCAAUGUUGGAAGUAAAUGCUCAAUGCCACCAAGUGAAAAUAGCACUCAGGCAAAAGUUUUCUCAGCAAGGCAAUUUACUUCUAUACAAAGGUGCAUCUCGCAGAUGGAGCAAAGGCAAGAGCACACUGGACAAGGGAGGGGAAGGGGGUCUUAUUCCUAAUGCAGCUAGUCCCUACUGCUGUGUCUUUCCCCUAUUGGCUAGGGUUGGACCAUACAGUCUAAGCUAAUUCCAAUUGGCUAUUUUAAAGAGAGUGGGGGUAAGAGCCAGAAUGGUGGGGUGAGUAUUUUCAGCGGGAAGGAUGGUUACAGAGCAGGUGACUAAGGAUGACUAGGGACAGAGCAGGUGAUAGAGGAUAGGAGGGGAUUGUUUACUGAAACUAGGGGCAAGGAGACAUAAAGAAUGAGGAAGUUAAACUUUAAAAUAGAGAACAAAGAACAGGGGAGCUGAGCGUACUGAUACAUUGGUUCUUUGGAGAGGAUCUCAGAACUCAUUGUACUUAACAAUUUUCUCCCUCCUGAAUUUUAAAGGAAGUUAACAGGCUAAAACCUUUGAGGAGGAAUUUAUUAUAUCCUGCACCAGUUUUCCAGACUGGACCAAUAUAUAUCUUAAAUAUAUUUGACUGAUGUCUCAUGUCUCCCUAAAAUAUAUAAAACCAAGCUUCACCCUGACCACCUUGGGCAUAAGUUCUCAGGAUCUCCUGAUGGCUAUGUCAUGGACCAUGGUCACUCAUAUUUGGCCCAGAAUAAAUCUCUUCAAAUAUUUUACAGAGUUUGACUAUUUUUGAGGCCUCUGCAGUAUUUUCUACAGUUCAAUGCUUUAGUUUACCACAGGUGUUUUUUUCCUUUUUUUUUUUGAGACAGAGCCUUGCUCUGUCACCCAGGCUGGAGCGCAGUGCCACAAUCUUGGCUCACUGCAACAUCCACCUCCCAGAUUCAAGUGAUCUCCUGUCUCAGCCUCCCGAGUAGCUGCGAUUAGAGACACCCCCCCACCAUGCCUGGCUAAUUUUUGUAUUUUUAGUAGAGAUGGGGUUUCACCAUGUUGGCCAGGCUGGUCUUGAACUCCUGACCACAAGUGAUCCACCUGUCUUGGCCUCCCUAAGUGAUGGGAUUACAGGUGUGAGCCACUGCACCUGGCUGAGCCCUCCUGUUUUGUUCUUUUUCAAUAUUGUAAUGGCUAUUCAGAGUCCCUUAAGAGUCCAUAUAAAUUCUAGGAUGAAUUUUUCUACUUCUGCGAAAAAUGUUGUUGGGAUUUUGUUAGAGCUUACAAUGAAUCUGUUGACCUCUUUGGGUAGUAUUAACAUCUAAACAAUAUUGUCUUCCAAUCCAUGAACACAGUAUGUCUUUCCAUUUAUUGAUGUCUUCUUUAGUUUCUUUCAGCAACAUUUUGUAGUUUUCAGGAUACAAGUCUUUCACCUCCUCGGUUAAGAGGCACUAACAAUUUAAAGCUGGUUCUUGUCCACAGUAGUUCCCUACAGCAAAUGUGAAACACAACUCAUGUUGCAGUUUAAAGGUACCGAGUACAGCCCUGGCUGAGAAACUCUGUAAAAGGAGGAAAAAAAAACUUCCCCAGCCCCAGCAACCAAUACCUAAAAGAUUUGUAAGCAGAAAUUUUCAUUCCUGUAAUUUAUUCAUUCUCUCAGCUGCACCUGUUUGUUAAGGCCACAGGGGCUGUCAUCAACUAAGAGCUAUUCCGGUAAAGCAAACAAACAAACAAACAAAAAACCCUGGCUCUAUUUUCAGCAGCUACCCAGCUCUGUGGGUGCCAAGUCCAUGACCCCGCAUGACUUUUGUAACCCAAAGCCAAAGGCCGGAAUUUAGGCUCAGGCAACACAAUCUCUGGGUGUUAUUUUGCCCCUUAAAUUGCACUCUUUGUACAACAUUUCUGGCCCCAUGCAAUAACCCAGAAAUAGACACAAGAAUUAGGCAGAUGGAGAUAGAAACAGCGCCUUAAUUACUGAUGAAGCUGUUAGAGAAUGAGGUUCCUUCUCUCCGAGCCAUGUGGGCUUAUGAAUAUUUCACCCCACCACUGGACAGAUUAUCCAUCCCUGGAGCAGGAACCCUGGACAACUGCGUGCCUCUCCAACAGGGCUUGUCUCUCUGACACCUGCAGCUUGAAGGAGCAGAACUAAAUACGUGCUCUCCUGUAUGUAGGUAGAUCCUAAGGAAAGUUGAGAAGAAAGGGCUGAGCUAGGCAUGAUUCCACUCCUUCAAAGAUUAACAGAUACAUUUCACCCCCUCCCUGCAGGAGGCUGGGAGCUUUGCUCCCAUAAAAGUUCCAGCACAUAGAAACAAGAAAAAGCAAAAUAAGUGUUUCCUCCUAUAUAAAGCAAUUUAAAACCUUAAUUUACACCCAUACAUUUGCUCCUUACAAGCAAAGAAUAAAUUUCUUUCAAAUGCUUCGGGAUCAUUUGUAAAAAUAUAUCAAGCACUAAUCUACAAAGAAAAUCCCAAUAAGAUUUUUUUAAAGUAAUUAUAGAAGCUGCCUUCUAUGACCAUACUGCAAUAGAGCUGUAACUUAACAAUAUAAGGAUGAUCAAUUUUUUGCUCAUUUUCUAUUUUAAAUUAGGUUUUAAAAUAUGAAGUGUGCAGUUUAAUUAAUGUUUACUUACUUAUCCACCACAUAACUACCACUUGAUGAAGAUACGGAAUGUUUCCAGCACUCCAGACAGCUCCCUUUUAUUCCCAUCCGGUCCAUAUUCACUGUAUAUGCUUUCUAUGGAUGCUGCAAUAAAUUACCACAAAUGUAGUGGCUUAAAACAAUACACACUUAUUGUCUCACAGUUCUGUAGGUGAGAAGUCUAGGUAAAGCUCAUCUGGGUUCCCAAUCUUAUCUUGGCCUUUUUUUUUUUUUUUUUUUUGAGAUGGGGGUCUCGCCACAUUGCCCAGGCUGGUCUCAAACUCCUGGGCUCAAGCAAUCCCUCUGUCUUGGUCUCCCAAAGUGGUGGGAUCACAGGAAUGAGCCACCAUGCCCAACCUUGUCUUAGCUUCUGAUGGGGCCAAAAUCAAGGUGUUGGAUGACCUGGGCUAUUGUCUGGAUACUCCAGGGGAGAAACUGCUUCUAGGUGCCUUCAUGUCAUUGAUAGAACUCACUACUUCUCAUGAUUUCCAGAACAAUGACUCAAGUCCUUAUCACACUUUGAGACUUCUGACUUCCUCUUCUGCCGCAUCUCUCUACCUCCAGCCACGGAAUGUUCUCUGCUUCUAAGGGCCCGUAUGGUUAGAUUAGUCCCAUCCAGAUAAUCUCUGUCUUUUAAUGUCAACUCAUUAGUAACUUUAAUUACAUCUGCAAUGUCCCUCUUGCCAGGUAACAUAGCAUAUUUAUAGUUUCUAGGGAUUAAGAUGGGACAUUCUGGGAAACUGUUAUUCUGCCUGCCAUAUCCACUCUUCUGAUUUGUCACCAUUGAUUAGUUUUCCUUGUCCUUGAAAUUCAUAUAGAUAAAAUCAUACAGUACUCUUUUGUCCUCAGAGAUAUAUCUGUGAAAUUCAUCUGUGUGGUUAUGUGUAGCUUUAGUCAAUUAUUUUUUACUGCAGUGAAAUUCCGUUAUAUACCAAAAUGCAUUCUUCAUUCUAAUGAUGAACAUGCUUGAGGCUAUUAUAAAUAAAGCUGUUAUGUAUAUCCCUGUUAA